GAGGCCGAUGCUGAAGUGGCGUUGCAGCGCUCGGCCCACCACCGAGUCGACCUGGCUGUGCAGGGCGACCAGCCGGGUCCAGCUCUCGGCGACGCCG
rnacentral:tRNA from 1 species